GGGGUAUAGUUCAGUGGUAGAUCAUUCGAUUGCAGAUCGAGAGGUCCCGGUUCAAACCUGGAUGUUCCUUUCUUCA
rnacentral:tRNA from 1 species